UAUAUGAAGCAUAUAUGAAGACCAAUGGGGCAACAUCCUUGACCCAGUUCAUAAUUCUUCUGUUUGUCAAUGUAAAAUCAUACACAGAAUUCAUUAUACUAACCACUGAUUGUCUAAAAUAUACCCCAAUAUUAGUGAUGCCUGUAACAGAUGUGGUCAGUCCCCUGCAAACCUUGUACAUGUUUUGGUUAUGGCCAUAUUUAACAUAUAAAAUUCAUAUGUCAAACCAGCUGUGUUUUUGUCUGCAGUCAAAAAGAUGUUCAGAUCCUCUUUAGACUCACACCACCCUGCAGCAGCUCUAGUGCUGAGAGCAGCAACAAGGAAAGGAAGACAGAUAUGAUUCAGAUGGGAAACAGCUCUUUGUCUGCAGGGUCAGGAGAAAGUGUUAGGCACAGCCUCUUUUGUGCUUGGUGCAAAUGUAAUCUAAGGACACUGCAGUUUAAGGGCCAAAGAGAUGUUUCAAGGUUGUUAUAGGACGCCAGAGGCCGGAGCGACAGCAUACUGUUUGGGACGACUUCCAACCUCAGCAGACUCCCUCCUACACACUUCACUCUGCCCAGACUGGUUCAAGAUAUGAGGAGACACACUCCACCUCUCUCUUGAUGGGUUUCAUCGCAGUCAGUCAGUUUGCAUUCCUUCGUUCUGUUUUUGCUAACUGUGUUUCUCUCCCCCCCUCUUUUUUUUUUCUUUUCCUCUUACAGUUCAUGCAGCCAAACUGAAAUGACAUCAUGCCGAGGGGAAGUCGAGGCUGAAUACGUACCCACAAGGCCCUGCAGGAGAAACAGGGACCAACGGCAGGAGGGGUAUCUGCUCAACAGGAGGAUGAGAUGUUUAUCAGGAGGGAGGAAAAUCUAACAUCACACAAGGUAAUUCUGUCUGCAGAUGAAGCUCUUUGCAACAACACGUGCACAUGUGGAAAUGUGGAAAAUAUCCGUUCUGUUUUGACCUGAUGACGAGGAGAGGACAGACAGAUGGGAUGGGAGGGCUUUGAUGAAAGGGGAUCGGGUGAAGAAGCAAUAAAUAAAUCCGGAUGGAAAAAAGGGGGGACAUAAAACACUGGCACAGCCUGGAGAGGAGAAAAGGGACAUUCUUUGUGUUCACAGCCCCAGUCUUUAAAGAACUGCUCUCUAUAAAGGGCUCCGGUUUCUGUGGUUCCUAAGUGACAGAAGGGUUUGGGCCAGACCAGGUCAAGAGCUACAGGAUUGUUAUGAAAAGUCUACUGUUUUAAUGCUCAUAUGGCUUGUUUGAAUCUGAAGCCAAUUAUCAGAUUAAAGAGUU